rnacentral:rRNA from 1 species
GAUGAACGCUAGCUACAGGCUUAACACAUGCAAGUCGAGGGGUAGCACGGAGGAAGCUUGCUUCCUUGGGUGACGACCGGCGCACGGGUGAGUAACGCGUAUCCUACCUACCCAUUACUCGGGCACAGCCGCUCGAAAGAGUGAUUGAUUCCCGAUAUGUCAUUAGAGUAGAUCUAAUGAUGAAAGAUUUAUCGGUUAUGGAUGGGGAUGCGUAAGAUUAGGUAGUAGGCGGGGUAACGGCCCACCUAGCCGACGAUCUUUAGGGGUUCUGAGAGGAAGGUCCCCCACACUGGUACUGAGACACGGACCAGACUCCUACGGGAGGCAGCAGUGAGGAAUAUUGGUCAAUGGGCGGAAGCCUGAACCAGCCAAGUAGCGUGAAGGAUUACAGCCCUACGGGUUUUAAACUUCUUUUAUAUAAGAGUAAUGUGCACUACGUGUAGUGUAUUGCAAGUAUUAUAUGAAUAAGCAUCGGCUAACUCCGUGCCAGCCGCCGCCGUAAAAC